CCACGGCAUUGGUUAGUGACUGAACGAAUAGUUAAAGUAGACCCUAUCAAAUGGCUUUUCAAUACCCGCAAUAGAAAUCAUUAAGAUGCACUGUGCUUCACACAGGUGGGGGAAUGAUGGCGGUGAGGAGGACGAAGAGUCUGGAGCUGAUCUAGGUUUUGAAACGGAUGCAACUCUUGUGUGGCCUUGGAAAAGUCAUACAUGAUCUCUGAAGUACAUCUGAGGGGGUGGGAGAAUAAAACCAGAGAUCUCAAUGGUUUCCUUAUAGUGUGCAUACUCCCAGGACCCAUGGUGCCUCUGGACACAUAUCUUAGAUGGGCAGCCACAGAGAAAGAGAAACUCUUCUUCAUUUUGUCAUCCAGUAAGCUGAGCAAUGCUGUCGUCCCUCAGCAGAGAGUGAAGGGCUGCGGACUACACUCUGGCUCCCUGGAUCUGUUCAAAUAAAGUUCUGUUUCCAUAUACUGCAGGAGGAAAACGUAUGGAAUGAGUGACUCUCCCUUGGUUGACAUCCCAGCCCAGAACACGUUCUCAGCAGGGAGCACAUAUGACGAACUCACCUCUCCUAACACAGUGAAGAACUUUAACACGAAUGACUAUGGCAGACGUGGCUGAUUCACAGACUGUGCAGAACUCCAUUCUGUAAAACUCUAGUCAGAAAGAGAACUCAGGGGCCAUCUGAAUUCCCAAACUACUGUAAAGAGUGAUAAGCCAAGAAGUCACUCCUAUGCCAUUAUCCGAGGGACAGCACUACCCUCUAGUACCAUAACAUCAAAUUAUUACCAUUACCAUAUACUCUUCAGUUUUAGAGAGCCUGGCACCAAACAGAAUGCAGGCAAACAGAAGAGCUGGAAAGUCCCUGGGACUCCUUGAGGGACAGUUCUACAGAGGACCUGAAGAAGAACAUUAGCUGGCCCCUUCACACUGGAGAAGAAAGAAGAAAUAAAUACUGGAAGAAUAGAAAGACCAAAGCAAGAAGAAUGAAAAUGGGGAAGAUGAAGGAGGAACUAUAAAACAAAGGUUCCAGAACACUGAGAUAAAAGAUAAAAGGAGGAGGCUGAGAGAUGGCCCUGAGUAGCUCUGAAGAUCUCCUCCCCAGCACUGUGGGAAGCCAGAGGUGGUAAGCUACUCUGCUUCUUCCCAGCAUUCACUCCUAUGGCUUGAUAGAAGGUGGAAACAGGAGACCCCCCCCCACCUACCCACCCCACCCACACAACUUGAGGCUCAGCUGGCCCAGCACACACUGUAACAAACAAUAGACCAUGCUGCAAACGAGGUGCAAGGAGACUGAAGGACACCCAAGGACCUUCCUGCCAUCACAGGCGCGUAAGUGCACCUAAAGCUACCCAUGAACAGGCACAUACAAAUACACACAUGCAAUGAAUAUAUACAUAGAGAGACAUUCGAGGGUGAAUAAAAGAAGCGAGGGAAGGGGAGGGAAGUUCAAAGAAAGAAGUGAAAACUGUCUGACGUGAGAAGGAAAUGGUGCCUGUAAUGGUGCGUACACCACAUUUUGUUAUGCUACACAGCACCCUGGGAGACGAAAGGAAAGGGUACCUUUGAGUUUAUUGUACUAAGCUGGGUCCUAAAUGUUCCCUGAGAACUUGGAAAGCUCCCCAAGUAAAGAAAGAAUAAAGAGCCCAGAGACACAUCCCAAGCUGAACACUCAGGGAGAGAGCUUCUCCAAGCACAACACUCCAGUUAUGUCACACUCGGAGACCAGCUCAACGUCACUGCCAAGAAAUAAAACAUGAUGCAAAUCCAUAGAUGAAACAUUGUUAUUAUUUUUUUAAAUGUUCGUAUGCUCAAGAGCCAUCCACGAAAUUGAAAAUAACACCUCCUGCUAAUUUCUCUGGGUGAGUUUGGUAUACUAUGUGUUUUAAAGAUUUCUCUGGCUAACACAGUCUAUUGAAUGAGAAAUGGCUCCCAUAGGUUCAUGUAUGUGAACAAUUCAUGCCCAGCUAGUGGCCCUGUAAGGGGAAGGUUGUGGAACCUUGCUGGAGGAAGCAUGUCACUGGGGGUGAGCUGUGAAGGUUUGAAGCCUCAAUCUACUUUUCUUGCUCUCUGCUUCUUGUGUGACAGUAAAAUGCAAUAAACCAACUUUCUGUCCUUGAUUUCA